rnacentral:precursor_RNA from 8 species
GACAAAAGGACACGUUCUCACUGUAAGGUGUUGCGUAGGCGUUGUGCACAGUGUUGGUUUUUGAACGGGACUGUGCAUCUCACCCGCGCAAAGCAUUGCAGAGACCUCACAGCCGGAUACCUC